ACUUAAAUAAUUUAAAUUAAAAUAUUAGAUUGUGGUUCUAAUUAUGUAUAUAUUACUUUAAGUU
rnacentral:tRNA from 1 species